CUCAGUCAUACUCAAACUAAACUGCUG
rnacentral:piRNA from 1 species